rnacentral:lncRNA from 1 species
UAUAGAGAUCAUAUUAUUUUCCCCAAGUCGCAAUGAUGGUAAACACAGAUGACAGCUGGACAUCAACUGGGUCUGGGUGGCCUCCAACUCCAGUGACUCAACGCUGCUCCACACGGCCUUCUUACAAGGAAAAAUGAGAACAGAGGCCGCAGGCCGGCUUCUGUGAAUCGCGUGUUGUUGGAAUUCCUGUCCUUCCUUGACCCAGAUUUGUAAACAGAGGCUGUGGAAGCCAAGAAAUGAAGAUUCUGAAGUACCUAGUGAGGAUUCUGACAUACCUAGAAUAUUUGGAUGGCUGCUGCUUGAAUGGAUGGCCUUGAGACACCUGAAGACCCUGAUGUGCCUUCUGAAUCAAACCAUGACUCAAUUACAUCCAUCAUUUAAUAACAACAAUUUUAGAAGGGUGUCCUGAAGGAGUACCAUAUUGAAUCCAGUGUUUAUGGGGCCUUCGUUUCAUGGGAUUGGAGUUGGAACCCAGAAUGGCAAAGUGACUCACCCACAGGUAUGCCCCGAGGCAACUUAGGAUUCUCUGAGUCCUCUACUGUCUCCUGCCCCUUGGAGUCUGGCCCUUCCAAGCUUCUCCUUGGGAAG